CAAGACCGGUGGCAGCCGCCACGGUAAUACCGGCAGCACAAGUGGUGUCCACGAUUAUUGGGCUUAAAGCGCUCGUAGCCGGCUGAUGCCGUCUCGCGUGAAAUAUUGGCGCUCAACGUCAAUGCGUGCGCGAGAUACCCAUCGGCUAGGGAGCGGGUGAGGUCAGGAGUACUUAUAGGGAGGGGUUAAAUCCUGUAAUCCUAUAAGGACUAACGGUGGCGAAGGCGCCUGACUAGAACGCAUCCGACGGUGAGGAGCGAAGGCUAGGAGAACGAAUCGGAUCAGAUACCCGAGUAGCCCUAGCAGUAAAUUAUGCAGACUCUGGUGUUGCAAGUAUCAUGAAUGCUUGCAGUACCGUAGCGUAAGUGUUAAGUCUGCCGCCUGGGGAGUACGGCCGCAAGGUUAAAAC
rnacentral:rRNA from 1 species